GUGGGGAAUAUUGGACAAUGGGCGCAAGCCUGAUCCAGCCAUGCCGCGUGAGUGAUGAAGGCCUUAGGGUUGUAAAGCUCUUUCAGUGGGGACGAUAAUGACGGUACCCACAGAAGAAGCCCCGGCUAACUUCGUGCCAGCAGCCGCGGUAAUACGAAGGGGGCUAGCGUUGUUCGGAUUUACUGGGCGUAAAGCGCACGUAGGCGGAUCGUUAAGUCGGGGGUGAAAUCCUGGAGCUCAACUCCAGAACUGCCUUCGAUACUGGCGAUCUUAAGUCCGGAAGAGGUGAGUGGAACUCCUAGUGUAGAGGUGAAAUUCGUAGAUAUUCGGAAGAACACCAGUGGCGAAGGCGACUCACUGGCCCGUUACUGACGCUGAGGCGCGAAAGCGUGGGGAGCAAACAGGAUUAGAAACCCGUGUAGUCC
rnacentral:rRNA from 1 species